rnacentral:rRNA from 1 species
CUUGGUCAUUUAGAGGAAGUAAAAGUCGUAACAAGGUUUCCGUAGGUGAACCUGCGGAAGGAUCACUACCGAGUCGUCGACACGAGUUGUUGCUGGCCUUCAAGCGGAGGCACGUGCACGCUCUGUUUGCACAUCCAUCCACCCCUGUGCACCUUUUGUAGUUCUACGGUCUGGAGGCUCCGCUUCCCUUCCGCGGUUCUACGUCUUUACACACACACGUUGAAGAAGUCUUGUGGAAUGUACAUCGCGUUUAACGCAAUACAAUACAACUUUCAGCAACGGAUCUCUUGGGCUCUCGCAUCGAUGAAGAACGCAGCGAAAUGCGAUAAGUAAUGUGAAUUGCAGAAUUCAGUGAAUCAUCGAAUCUUUGAACGCACCUUGCGCCCUUUGGCUAUUCCGAAGGGCAUGCCUGUUUGAGUAUCAUGAACACCUCAACUCUCACGGUUUCUCGUGAUGAGCUUGGACUUGGGGGUUUGUCGGCCUGUGGUCGGCUCUCCUCAAACGAAUUAGCUUGCCGGUGUCUGGCGGCAUCAUGGGUGUGAUAACCAUCUACGCUUGUGAUCGCCUGCGAGGUAAACCUCUGGUCUGCAGAGGUUCGCCGGAGCUUAUAGACGUCUCUCCUCAGCGAAGACAGCUGUCUGAAGUUCGAUCUCAAAUCAGGUAGGACUACCCGCUGAACUUAAGCAUAUCAAUAAGCGGAGGAAAAGAAACUAACAAGGAUUCCCCUAGUAACUGCGAGUGAAGCGGGAAGAGCUCAAAUUUAAAAUCUGGCGUGCCUCUGGUCGUCCGAGUUGUAGUCUGGAGAAG